UACAGAGGGUGCGAGCGUUGUUCGGAAUUACUGGGCGUAAAGCGCGCGCAGGCGGUCCUUUAAGUCUGAUGUGAAAGCCCACGGCUCAACCGUGGAGGGUCAUUGGAAACUGGGGGACUUGAGUGCAGAAGAGAAAAGCGGAAUUCCACGUGUAGCGGUGAAAUGCGUAGAGAUGUGGAGGAACACCAGUGGCGAAGGCGGCUUUUUGGUCUGUAACUGACGCUGAGGCGCGAAAGCGUGGGGAGCAAACAGG
rnacentral:rRNA from 1 species